CUGUGCUCUGCACUUGUGUAGUCUCUAACAAUUCUUUUAUAUAGCUUCUUAUAUUCUUCCACUCUGUGUUCUGCACUCAUAUAGUCUUUAAUGAUUCUUUCAUGUAGCUCUCAAUGAUUCUCCCACCCCACAUUCCAUGCUUGUAUAGCUUCUAACACUUACACAUAUCUCUUAAUGUUCUUCCACUCUGCACUCCACUGUGGAGCAGCUUCUGAUAUUCUUUCACUCUGAACUUUUCUCUAUAAGAACCUUCUUUGUAUGACCUUUUCUUCUGAUUUCUUUUCUCUUUCUUUUCUUAAUCAAUUCAUAAUCUGUAUUAGGAUAGUGCU
rnacentral:sRNA from 1 species